rnacentral:lncRNA from 1 species
GUGCUUUGGGGGUGGAGAUAUUUAUUCUGUCUCUUUGGAUACCAUUAAGAGUGCUAGAUCUGGAAGCAAGAAAGAAAAUAUUGAGAAGCUGUUUGUUAUACUUAAUGCUGACCCAUCUACAUCAUGUAUAGUACAUCAUGCUACCCAUAUGAACAUCAUGUGAGGAGGACCACUUAUGAUGUUCAUGUGGAACAGAAUCACAGCGUGUCAAUUAAAAUGGUGUGACAGUGAGACCCCCAUCAAUUGGUAAGUCUUAGCAGAUGUCUUAAUUAGGCUGCUCAGCGGCAGACUGACCAACAACACUCAGUGAAAGUCAUUUUCAAGUUUACAUCUGAGGCCUCUGUCUUUUAAACUUUUUCUUUCUUGCUUCCUUCUGUUUAAAUCCUAGCUGUUAGGGAGCUUUCCUUUGUGCAUUGUUUUUAAAGAGUUGGUUCUUCUUCUCUUUUCUUCUUACCUGUAAGUAAAAGUAUUCCAUGAAGAAUAUUGCACUCCCAGGGGCUCUGCAAGCUUUAAUUUAU